UGAGGAAUAUUGGUCAAUGGGAGAGAUCCUGAACCAGCCAAGCCGCGUGAGGGAAGACGGCCCUAUGGGUCGUAAACCUCUUUUGUCGGAGAACAAAACCCGGGACGUGUCCCGGACUGCGUGUAUCCGAAGAAAAAGCAUCGGCUAACUCCGUGCC
rnacentral:rRNA from 1 species